CGCCUCUUGCUUAACUACUAUAAGAGGUCCCGCCUGCCCUGUGACAAUGUUUAACGGCCGCGGUAUUUUGACCGUGCGAAGGUAGCGUAAUCACUUGUCUUUUAAAUGAAGACCUGUAUGAAAGGCAUCACGAGAGUUUAACUGUCUCUAUUUUCCAAUCAAUGAAAUUGAUCUUCUCGUGCAGAAGCGAGAAUAUAACCAUUAGACGAGAAGACCCUAUGGAGCUUCAAACACUUAAAUUAAUUAUGUAGAAUUAUAAUCCCACGGGAGAAAAUCAUUUAUACAAUAUUCCUAAUUUAACUGUUUUUGGUUGGGGUGACCGAGGGGGAAAAGAAAUCCCCCUUAUCGACUGAGUACUCAGUACUUAAAAAUUAGAACGACAGUUCUAAUUAAUAAAACAUUUAUCGAAAAAUGACCCAGAAUUCUUUCUGAUCAAUGAACCAAGUUACCCUAGGGAUAACAGCGCAAUCCUUUCCCAGAGUCCCUAUCGCCGAAAGGGUUUACGACCUCGAUGUUGGAUCAGGACAUCCUAAUGGUGCAACCGCUAUUAAGGGUUCGUUUGUUCAACGAUUAACAGUCCU
rnacentral:rRNA from 1 species